CCUACGGGAGGCAGCAGUGAGGAAUAUUGGUCAAUGGACGAGAGUCUGAACCAGCCAAGUAGCGUGAAGGAUGACUGCCCUAUGGGUUGUAAACUUCUUUUAUCAAGGAAUAAAACGAGGCACGUGUGCCUUUUUGCAUGUACUUUAUGAAUAAGGCUCGGCUAACUCCGUGCCAGCAGCCGCGGUAAUACGGAGGAUCCGAGCGUUAUCCGGAUUUAUUGGGUUUAAAGGGAGCGUAGAUGGGUUGUUAAGUCAGUUGUGAAAGUUUGCGGCUCAACCGUAAAAUUGCAAUUGAUACUGGCAGUCGUGAGUACAGUUGAGGUAGGCGGAAUUCGUGGUGUAGCGGUGAAAUGCUUAGAUAUCACGAAGAACCCCGAUUGCGAAGGCAGCUUACUAAACUGUGACUGACAUUGAUGCUCGAAAGUGUGGGUAUCAAACAGGAUUAGAUACCCUUGUAGUC
rnacentral:rRNA from 1 species